CGCACCCCAGCGUGGAACCAUC
rnacentral:miRNA from 1 species